rnacentral:lncRNA from 1 species
GCCCGACACUGAUCCAGAAUCAGCUACACUGGCCUCACUUUGUCCAGAUUUUGACCAUCUCCCAUGAUCCCAGAUCAGCUUAAAGAAAUUCAUACAGAGUGGAGGCGGGGUAUCCACCUCUCUCCUCCCUCUCGGUCCCUCAUUCUCUCCCCCUCUCACACCCUCUCGGCACAGCCAUUCAGAGCCUGGCUGUGGAUGAUAACACACACACAUGCACACUCACACACACAGUCUCUCUCUGAGGAGCAGGAUGCUGUGUGUUCUGAUGCUCCAGCUGGCCGCCGCUCUGCUGCUGCCUCUCUGCUGCGGAGGGCAGGGUGACUUUGACGACUACGACACCACGGUUGGGCCUGAGUAUGAAUACAACGGCACGAUCGAGUAUUCCUUCUUUAGUAACUCCAGCAUCGACGAGCUGGACGACUUCCUCAGUGAGCGUGGAGACACAGGCGAUCCGGAAACCUUCACAGAGGCGGAUGUCACUGCCAGCAACAAGGAGACCUUCACCAGUGAUUCACAGGAGGAGGAACGUCCCCUUCCCACAGACGCGGCCUGCAGGACCGCAUCUCCCAGCAUGCUGUUCACUCUGGCACUGCUGAUUCAGAAGGUGCUCCGCCUUUUAUGAUCACGAUUGUCACAGCACAUACUUCAGGACCUACAUGAUAAGAGGAGACUACGCGCACAAACAGAUGUGGACAAAGAGGAGCAAUGAGUUUCUGCCACGUUCUGAGCCAUUGUGCGAACCCACCCACACAAACACACACUCAAUAUCUCUCUCUCCCUCCUAUAGUCACUCAAAAUGACACACGGCACAGCGGCCUGAAUAACUGCUUCAUCAGCCUUUGUUGGGAAAAGACACGAUUAGAGACUGCGCUAACUCUCCUGCUGACCGCAGGUCGGGCGCUAUUGAAUCGACGUUUGGAGUCGGUGCACAGUGAGGCUCCCGAGAACAUGCGCCGAGGGGUUAAUUAAAACAGGGACGCGGGCUUGGACCGCUAUUGUAAAAGGUACCUCUGCAUGAAGGGCCCUGAGAUCGGCAGCCAGGCCAGCCGGGGAGCCGAUCGGCUGACAAGCUCAUUUCCUGUUUCUGAGCCACAAUCUAAAGCGCUUCGGAUACGAGACAUGCGCCUCCUUCGUGCAACCGACCAUGGGACCCUGCGGAUUCACUCGUAGCCUGCUUUCUGUCUCGAUUUCAAUAAACACACACACAGAUAUGUUACA